GCGUUGAUGGUCUAGUGGUUAUGAUUGGCCCUUGCCAUGGGCUAGAGCGGGGUUCGAUUCCCCGUCAACGCA